CGGAAGUAAAAGUCGUAACAAGGUUUCCGUAGGUGAACCUGCGGAAGGAUCAUUAAAGAAUUGGACUCCAUUGGUGAGUUCAUUAAUAAUCCUACCCUUUGUGAAUUUGUUUGUUUGAAUAAUUUUUUUUCCAAAAAAAAUUAUUGAAUGUCUCUCCCUGUUUUGGUGGAGCUUGUAAAGUGAAGCCAGGCAGGGGAAUGGCAAACAAUAAUUAUUUUUGAAAAAGACCUUUUUUAAAAUUAAACUUUUUGUAUUCAUUUGUCUAAAAUUAUUUUUAUAAUAUAAAAACAACUUUUGACAAUGGAUCUCUUGGUUCUCGCAACGAUGAAGAACGCAGCAAAAUGCGAUAAGUAGUGUGAAUUGCAGAAUACGUGAAUCAUCGAAUCUUCGAGCGCAUAUUGCACUUUUUUAGUUUACUAAAAAAGUAUGUCUGUUUGAGUAUCAGUAAAAUAUUCUCAUAAAAAAUUUAUUUUUUAUGGUUAUGAGUGUUUUACAACGAUAACAAGUUGUUUCACUUUAAAUUCUUUGUUAUCAAAAAAAUCAUUAAAAGCUAAUUUUAAAGAUUUUUUAAGAUUGGAUAAAAUUUUCCCGUAAAAAGGAAUAACCUAAACAAUUUUAAAAAAUUAAAAUUGGUUUGAUUUUUCUUGAUUUAAAAAGGAAAAAAAAGUAAAAAUUAACUUGAUCUCAAAUCAGAUAAGAGUACCCGCUGAACUUAAGCAUAUCAAUAAGCGGAGGAAAAGAAACUAACUAGGAUUCCCUCAGUAACGGCGAGCGAAGCGGGAAGAGCUCAAAUUUGAAAUCUUCAAGGUUUACCUUGACGAAUUGUAGUUUAAAGAAGUGUUUUCUGUUGGAGUUUUGGUAAAAGUUCUUUGGAAAAGGACAUCAUAGAGGGUGAGAAUCCCGUAUUUGACCAUUAUCUCCAGCUUUGUGAUACACUUUCAAAGAGUCGGAUUGUUUGGGAAUGCAGUCCAAAAUGGGUGGUAAAUUUCAUCUAAAGCUAAAUACUGGCGAGAGACCGAUAGCGAACAAGUACCGUGAGGGAAAGAUGAAAAGAACUUUGAAAAGAGAGUUAAACAGUACGUGAAAUUGUCAAAAGGGAAGCGUUUGACACCAGUGUUGUUUUCUCGAAAAUCAAUUAAAAAAGGCCGGAUUUUGUGUUGUAUUGACUUUAUCAGCUUUCUGCACUUUUUUCUUGUCUUUUUUAAUGCACUUUUCGUUUAACAAGUCAACAUCAAUUUCUUUUGUUGUAAAAGGGUCAUUGGAAGGUGGCUUUCUUUUCGGAGAAAGUGUUUAUAGCCUUUGGCCUCUGCAAUCGGAGAGAUUGAGGUCUGCAGCGUAGAUCCUUCGGGGUUAGAUACAUUUGUGCUAAGUUAUAGCCUUUCAUAGACAACUUGUUGACUAUGAUCAGUCAUGUAGCUUACUCGCUUAUGCUAUUUUACCUACGCUUAGGAUGUUGAGU
rnacentral:misc_RNA from 1 species